rnacentral:lncRNA from 1 species
AAAAAAAUCAAAAACUACUGAAUGGAUUACGAUAAAAUUCAAACAGGUGGGAUAUAAUAUGAUCAUAUGCAUGGUGUGAAACGGUUACGAUAAAUAUCAUGUCAGUUCGCAUUCUAGUGGGCAUUUUCGAAAUUCCAUACAGCUGUAAGAUUUGAAAAUUCGAGUAUACAAAAAUGAAAGCAAGCACUUCGAUAUUACAAUAUUUUCACAUAAGUCAUAGAAAAGGUUCGCC